rnacentral:snoRNA from 1 species
UCCUAUGAUGGCAUGAAAUCUUUGAGACCUGAUUCUCUGAUUUGAUGAAAACUAUAAGCAUUAUCUCUGAGGAU